AAAUCAGAAGUUUUAUUUUAAAAAAGUCGUAGAUGCAUGAAGACGAAGACUUAAUGGAGGAUUUGAGAAACAAAGGUGGAAAAUAUGGUAACUUAGUGAAUAUUGUGAUUCCACGACCUAUCCAAGUAAUGAUCCCACACCAGGAGUUGGAAAGGUUUUCUUCGAGUAUGCGAAUGUGGAUGAUGCAUCAAUGGCUAGACUGGGGAUGAAUGAAAGAUUUCUUUUUGUCUUUAUCUAUUUUUAUUGUUUUUAACGGAUUAAAACUGACUACACCCAAUCCGAUUGAAGCCUGCCUCUAUGGUGCUUUGUGUUUGGUGGAUU